AAGAUGCAGUGUACCCGCGGCAAGACGGAAAGACCCCGUGAACCUUUACUAUAGCUUGACACUGAACAUUGAGCCUUGAUGUGUAGGAUAGGUGGGAGGCUUUGAAGCGUGGACGCCAGUCUGCGUGGAGCCGACCUUGAAAUACCACCCUUUAAUGUUUGAUGUUCUAACGUGGACCCGUAAUCCGGGUUGCGGACAGUGUCUGGUGGGUAGUUUGACUGGGGCGGUCUCCUCCUAAAGAGUAACGGAGGAGCACGAAGGUUGGCUAAUCCUGGUCGGACAUCAGGAGGUUAGUGCAAUGGCAUAAGCCAGCUUGACUGCGAGCGUGACGGCGCGAGCAGGUGCGAAAGCAGGUCAUAGUGAUCCGGUGGUUCUGAAUGGAAGGGCCAUCGCUCAACGGAUAAAAGGUACUCCGGGGAUAACAGGCUGAUACCGCCCAAGAGUUCAUAUCGACGGCGGUGUUUGGCACCUCGAUGUCGGCUCAUCACAUCCUGGGGCUGAAGUAGGUCCCAAGGGUAUGGCUGUUCGCCAUUUAAAGUGGUACGCGAGCUGGGUUUAGAACGUCGUGAGACAGUUCGGUCCCUAUCUGCCGUGGGCGCUGGAGAACUGAGGGGGGCUGCUCCUAGUACGAGAGGACCGGAGUGGACGCAUCACUGGUGUUCGGGUUGUCAUGCCAAUGGCACUGCCCGGUAGCUAAAUGCGGAAGAGAUAAGUGCUGAAAGCAUCUAAGCACGAAACUUGCCCCGAGAUGAGUUCUCCCUGAGACUUAGAGUCUCCUGAAGGAACGUUGAAGACGACGACGUUGAUAGGCCGGGUGUGUAAGCGCAGCGAUGCGUUGAGCUAACCGGUACUAAUGAACCGUGAGGCUUAACCUU
rnacentral:rRNA from 1 species